rnacentral:lncRNA from 1 species
GCAGCACAGGGUGUUUCUGCAAGACAGAGCAAAUGGGCCGUGCGAGGUCACAAUAUGGUGGGAGGGUCACAGCGUUUAGGGCCAGGCUGACCUCUUACAUGGCUCAGGCCAAAGAGCGUGAGCUCUACACCCAGUCAUCCAUGGCAGAGCAGGAGGGGGAAGGCUGCAGAGCACUUAUACACAGCAAGCACAGGCUAUUAACUUUACUUUCCUAACUACGCCCUCCCAAAUAUAAAAGCCAAACAAGCACAUCACAGGCCUGGCAACGUGAGCCACAGUCCUGGAAUGAGACUGCACACCACUGUCGAGGACAAAUUUCUAAACACUCCCCACCCUUCCCUGAGAAACGCAGAGGACGGGGCUCCUGACUCAGCCAUCCCAGCUGUAAGUCUGAAGAUGGGGAAGAUCACCUGUGCCUAACUUCCGUGGGAGCCAGGAAUGUCCUGUUGCUGAUGGCCCAGACCAUGGUGAAGGGUGCUGGGACACUGUUUGGUUUCAGAACCAUCUGUGUUAAAUUUGACGUUUAGUAGAUCUCAAAUUAGAGCAACAAUAGAGCCCUGGCUGCUGCAGGCAGAGAGCAGGGCCCACAGCAGUGAGAAGGCAGAGGGGAUCGUGCUACAGUGACUCCAGGGCACUGAAGUGCACGAAUAAAACCGAAGUGCAAAAUGUCACGAGAAUUCAUCAUGUUGUCCAGGGAGAAUAUGGGGUUAAUCUCCUAGACAGCAAACCAAGGACAAGCUUAGGGUGAGCAAGGUUAUUGUCAAACUCCAAACCAACGUGAGCAGUUUCACGUACGUCUUCACAAAUAGGCAGCACUCAUCAAAGCAGCUAAUUUAGCAAUUGUCAUUGAAUUCAUCAGUAAAAAUAAAUGUCUGUGGGUGGAGAUGGCUACUCUGAUGGGUCAUUUGGGCAAGACAUUGCUGGUAAUC